rnacentral:lncRNA from 1 species
CUCAGAAUAGGAAAGCUUCUAUGAGCACAGUUCUGGUGAUCACUAAUAAAGAAAUGAUAUGUUACUCAACCACAGUUACUACAAGAGGCAUAAAGACAUUUUAUGAGGAGGAGCUGAAGAGAACAAAGUGGACCCUGUUCCAGGAAGGAAGCCACAGCAGUCUCCACAGAGGCAGAGAGAAUCAUUUUUCUUAGGUGUGUGAAGGUCCU